rnacentral:lncRNA from 1 species
AAACCCUAAAAAAGUAGAGAGAGAAAUGCUCUUGCGGUAUUGAAGGUUGAAACAAACCCACUAACCGCUAGCCUCUUGUCUCUCUACAAUAUACCCCCCUCUACCAAGCCGCCUAUCUUUCUCUCUCUUCCCCCUCCUCUCUCUCUCUCUAUCUCAUAUUCACCCCCGUGUGCAUUAAAAGUGGGCAAACAAGGAGCACCGAUAAAAAUAUUAUCGCGUUUAGAGAACCAGAGCAGCAGCUACCCUGAACUUGUUUUUCCGUCCUCUCUCUCUCUCUCUCUCU